GGAAAGUUCUGGCUGGGAGGGGAGCUGCCGCUGCCGGGUGUCCAGCUAAUUCGCGUGUUCAUAAGCCACAGCCAUAACCCCACAUCACAGUUGGGUGGCUACUUGCAUCAGAAUUACCAGUUAGGUUUGUUUAAAAAUGCAGCAUUUGCAUUUUUACAGACUCUGCCCAUUUGGGUUUGAAAUCCCCCCUUUAAAGACAAGCUGUGUGUAUCCCCUCCGCCCCUUCAAUGCUCAACACUAUGAAGAAUACAACCAAAUAGACAGAAAAGUUAUUCUUUUUUUAAAAAAUCAAUUCUUUGUUGUACCUAAAGAUGGGAAGUGGCAAAGCAAGUUAUUCAAAAUACUAUAAACUUCAUAAUUGUAUUUUAUUUUGGAAUCCAGUGGCGGCAGAUUGCUCUUUUUAAUUUGUCCUAGGCUAAUAAUUAAAAUGAGCUGAUAGUCCCAGAGCCUACACUAGCAAGUUUAGAAUGAAGAAAGCUAGUUUACCCCAUGAAAAAGUGAAUAUUCCAUGUCUGGUUAGUUCAGAAUUGUCAUUAUAGACAGGAUUACUUUUAACUCACAACCUCGAGUUUCCUUUAUUGACUGGUGUAGGGGAGUGAUAUCUGGGGACAACAGAAAAUUCUCCACUUUAAGGUGUGCCCAGCUCAGGACAGGAAUUGGCCGAGGAGGCCCUGCCAGCUCUGAGAUGCUCCGACUUGUUGGAGCAGGGGUGUUGUGACAUGCUCUGAGGGGUCCCAACAGCUGUGCGAUUAGCCGUGGCAUAAGGAGAUGAAAUUCAACCCUGCGAAGAGGCAAUCGCUGAAGGUAUUAGUUCACACUUGUUGCUUCCGGAGUUGGUCAUAGCUUCUUAGCUGGAAAGUCCCGGAGGGGGUCACAUUCCCUGUUGAGCCUUCACACGGAGGCUCAUGCACCAGGAAGCCAUCUGCACCCCUCCCUCUGCCUGAGCCCCUGUUUGUGCCGGAGCAGAGUGGGAGGAAACAGGCUCCAGAGGGGCAAAGGGCUUGGCACUUACACAGCACCUUCCGUUUGUGCUUUGUCACGAUCCUGGCUCUCUGGCAGGAGCGGAUCUCUCAGCUGUGGGAGGAACACGAACAGUUGCAGUUAUAAUCGUGGCCCUUCAGAGAUGGUGUCUCCCAGCAACGAGCCAGAGCACGCUGUAGCCUGCCGUCUCCCCAGGCAGGAGGUGCUCCCUGCCACUAAGUGCCUCCUCAGUGUGCUCCUGCCAAGCAUGAAAGAGAGAGACAGAGAGAGAGCGACCUUUGGGUAGGAAACAUGGCACAGAGGAGAGACAGAAACGGUCCGCACUGAUGUGUCUUCCAGCCAAGCCUGAGGUUCCUCCGGGUGGCUGUGCUGGGUGGUGCAAAGGAACAGACAGACAGACUUGAACACUCUCUGGGCCUUGUGGGCUUUGUGUUUGAAAAUGGAUUUCUCAGGUCUCUUUAGUUCUUGGUCCAGGCCUAAAAGCCACAAGGCUGGACAGCCUUCCACCAGACCCGCCGCCCACCCAGCCCCGGAGGCCCCGCUGCGUGGGGGCUCUGUGGCUGUCGGCAGGGGAAGUGGCAGCACAGUCCCUCCCGGACCACAGCGGAGCUCCAGUGGUCAUGGUGAAAAGUGUGGGGUCUUCCAACAUCGAACCUUUCUCUAGCCUGUUUGUUCUGCUCUGUGAACUUUGCAGGAGACAUUCACUGAUUGAACGCGCAUUUCUUGGGCACCAUCUAUGUAUGCCAAUAAA